GGCAACAUUGUGAUUGAUGGAACCGCAAAGCUAGUCAAAGUUUCUCAAUCCGUAAACCUAGCAAAAGAGAGUUGAUUGAAUCAGGUUGUGGUCUUUUUCCCAUUUUGAUCUAACCAUUAUUUGAGCUUAUGAAAGUUUGCAAGUUAGACCAUGGGGUACUUCUGGUUCCCUGUAUUUCGUUUGCCUCUUCAUUCUUGAUCACUAUUGUAUCUUUGUCGAAGCAUUAGAAGAUUGAGUACAACCUGUAUCAGUGAGUACCACAAUUUUCUUUGCGGAAGUUGGAUAUCCUGUCCUUUAUUUUUGCCUUGUUGACG
rnacentral:misc_RNA from 1 species